rnacentral:sRNA from 1 species
GCCGGGCGCGGUGGUGCACGCCUGUAAUCCCAAGGCUCGAGAGGCUGAGGCAGGAGGAUCGCGAGUUCAAAGCCAGCCUCAGCAACUCAGUGAGACCCUGACUCUA